UGUUCCUGCAUAGUGCAGAUUGUGUGGGCCUUGCAAGAAAAAUGAUGCAGUCGUUAAGACACUUUCUUGGAAAUUAGGACAGUUGUGGUCAGUUCCCUGUUCCACCACACUUUUUCUGGCAGUGGGUCGUCGGAUAUGGAUUGCUUAGAAAGGCUCUUGACAAGGCAGACAGGACAUAGGACAAUGAUCACCUUGAAGAACAUGAGUUUUUCUUGGCUUCAAUCCUUUGGAAUUACAGAAGAGCCACUCAGUUCACCCCACCCUUUUCCAUGAAUCUUCUCAGGAUGAUGUGCUGUAUCUGAAGUUCUGAUCACCUCUAAGUCUCAGAAGAGAGAAAGGUUUUGAGAUAAAACAAGUAUUUCCUACUUACAGUAGAGGAGCACUUCUUCACUCAUGGUCUGUCUGUCUUGGAGUGGAUCCCAAGAUGGAUUUUCAGAUCCCAGCUAUCUGAAAAUAUCUUCUGACAUUUUCAAGAAUGCGCUUCAGUUUUCUGGAGCUGCCAGCCCAGAACUGUCCUGCAUCUAAUGGAGGAGGAAUGAGAAGAGCUAGUACGGAACCAAACAGCUGAAUAAACAACUGAUUUUACAGCAAAGAUGUGUAGAAAUUAGUUUGACUAUUCAUAUUUGUUAUCCAACCAAGAAUACUAUUAAAGUGGUGAGAUCUGUAUGAAGUCCUCUGGAAGGUUUCAUGAACAGGUUAUACGGUUAAACAGUCAUGCUGUAAGAAAGAGAAAAUUAUUAUGCAAUUUACCAAAACCUCAGGAGACAUGGGACACUUUACUGACAGCUCCUUGCCUCUACAAGCCCAGGUAAAGCCCCAGGAUGUUGUCAAAUCCCUGAAAUCUGUCCUUUCCACUGAAUAUGGAAAUAAGCACUACGCACAGGACUAGUGAUUAGUGAAGGAUUUAAAAUCUGUUUUCUCAGAAUGGCUGGGUCAAGCAGAUUUUGUAUUUCAUCACGAGGACAGGACAGGAUCUAAUAUGGAUCUGACCUAUAGCAUUUUAAUGUACUCUGGAGGUACAGCAAACAAGGUUGAAUAACAGG